rnacentral:tRNA from 1 species
GUAAAUAUAGCUCAAUUGGUAGAGCAGUAUAUUUUAAAGGUUAAGAGUUCGAAUCUCUUUAUUUAUA